ensembl:miRNA
CAAUUGUAUUAGGUUGGUGCAAAAGUAAUUGUGGUUUUUGCCAUGAAAAGUAAUGGCAAAGACCUCAAUUACUUUUGCACCAGCCUAAUA